ACGGAGCCAGCUUGAGCCACCCACCUCCUUGAGACUCGAAGCCACGAAGACGAAGAUCCCCCACCGCCGGUGCACCAUGAAGACGAAGAUCCCUCAACACAGCACCUCGCCUGGCUCGCCAGCACCAUCCAGCGGCACCCCAGCGCCACCAACAGGACCGAUCUGGCCACCUGCAGCACCGUUUGUGGCCACCCAUAGUAGUACUGCUGCGUUUCUGGCCUAGCCACCCACAACACAACAGCCACCGGUUGGCCUUCUUCCAGUGCUCUUCUUCCUUCCCAUCCACUUGACUUCAGGUUGGUUUGCAUUAAGAAGUUUAGCUAUUUUGUUGGAGAAGGCACCAUAACUUUGCUAUCAGUUUAAUGACAAUUUAUUUUUAUUUUCAGUUGUGUUGACUGU